rnacentral:rRNA from 1 species
UGGGGAAUACUGCACAAUGGACGAAAGUCUGAUGCAGCGACGCCGCGUGGAGGAUGAAGGUUUUCGGAUCGUAAACUCCUGUUAAGAGGGAAGAAAGAUUCAUGGUUAAUAUCCAUGAGUGAUGACGGUACCUCUAGAGAAAGCUCCGGCUAACUUCGUGCCAGCAGCCGCGGUAAUACGAAGGGAGCAAGCGUUAUUCGGAUUUACUGGGCGUAAAGGGCGUGUAGGCGGUUUAUUAAGUCGGUUGUUGAAUACCAUGGCUUACCUAUGGAACAGCAAUUGAUACUGAUGAACUAGAGGACAAGAGAGAGGAGUGGAAUUCUCGGAGUAGCGGUAAAAUGCGUAGAUCUCGAGAGGAACACCGAUGGCGAAGGCAGCUCUUUGGCUUGUACCUGACGCUGAGACGCGAAAGCGUGGGGAGCAAACAGG